AGUGAACGCUGGCGGUAGGCCUAACACAUGCAAGUCGAACGGCAGCACAGUAAGAGCUUGCUCUUACGGGUGGCGAGUGGCGGACGGGUGAGGAAUACAUCGGAAUCUACUUUUUCGUGGGGGAUAACGUAGGGAAACUUACGCUAAUACCGCAUACGACCUACGGGUGAAAGCAGGGGAUCUUCGGACCUUGCGCGAUUGAAUGCGCCGAUGUCGGAUUAGCUAGUUGGCGGGGUAAAUGCCCACCAAGGCGCCGAUCCGUAGCUGGUCUGAGAGGAUGAUCAGCCACACGGGAACUGAGACACGGUCCAGACUACUACGGGAGGCAGCAGUGGGGAAUAUUGGACAAUGGGCGCAAGCCUGAUCCAGCCAUACCGCGUGGGUGAAGAAGGCCUUCGGGUUGUAAAGACCUUUUGUUGGGAAAGAAAAGCAGCAGGUUAAUACCCCGCUGUUCUGACGGUACCCAAAGAAUAAGCACCGGCUAACUUCGUG
rnacentral:rRNA from 1 species